rnacentral:rRNA from 1 species
GGUUAAGCGAAUAAGCGUACACGGUGGAUGCCUAGGCAAUCAGAGGCGAUGAAGGACGUGCUAAUCUGCGAAAAGCGUCGGUAAGGUGAUAUGAACCGCUAUACCCGACGAUAUCCGAAUGGGGAAACCCAGUAUCCAAUGGAUACUAUCAUUAACUGAAUCCAUAGGUUAAUGAGGCGAACCGGGAGAACUGAAACAUCUCAGUACCCCGAGGAAAAGAAAUCAACCGAGAUUCCCCUAGUAGCGGCGAGCGAACGGGGAGCAGCCCAGAGUC